rnacentral:lncRNA from 1 species
AUGGAUAAACAAAGUGUGGUGUGUACAUACAGCGGAAUAUUAUCAGCCUUAAAAAGGAAGGACAUUCUGAUACAGGCCACAGCAUGGAUGGAUCUAGAAGACAUGGUGAGACAACUGAGGCCUGGAGACGUCCAGGAGCUUGCCCAAGGCCUCAGGGUGCUAAGUGUGAGAAGAAGGGCAGGAACUCUCCGAGUGGGCGCUCUGCUUCUGUGUGUUGACUGCACUGUAUCCAGGAGGACACCGAGAGAGUUCUGUGACUUACACAAGGUCACGCCAAGCCAGCAAGAGGGCUCACGUCUUCCCAAGCUCUGUCGCCCUCCUCCAGUAGCUCCGUGCUGCCUCCUGCUCUUUCCUUGUCUGCUCUUGGCAUCAAAUGCCUGACACGGGCAUUUCUGGUCAGUCACUGGGGGCACUAAGCUGCCCACUGGGAGGCACACCCUCACACAGCUUCUGAGGGGGCUGCCAUGGCCAGGAUGUCCUAUGACACACAGAACGCGUGGCCCAGCACUGGCUCAACCAUUACUGCUGUUUCAGGGUCAAGAUUCCUGGGCAAUAAGCAAGUUUCCUUGUUAUUUCCCUCACCAUUUCUCAUGUCACAACUUCUGUGUUCCCUUACUUAAAAGCUGACUGGAAAUGAUGACUUGCGAAUAAAAGCUCUUGCAUAGACUCAAAGCCCAUUUUAAUUUUAUGAGCAUUGUGCUUUAUAUUUGCCACGGUCUUUAAAUGCUUUGAAGCAGAGUCUAGACCAG